CCAUCGUUGGCGCGCGCGAGCAGUGUGGGUGCAAUAAUUGAAUAAUUAUAUGUCGGUGUGACGGGAAGGAAUUGCGCCGGUAAAAGAUUCCAAAAAUAGGCCUAUACAAAUACAGUAAUUAGUCUAUUACAGUUCCAUUAUUGAAUCGUUGUUAUAAUUCAGUAAAGAUUUUAAACCGCCACUACUAGUCUUGGCUACUCACCAGAAGUGGCAGUGGAGAGACACACACCCCAAGCUGCCAAUAUGUACAACCACAUAACCUGAAAAGAAUGAAAAAUUGUUAAUGUCACUAUAUUGAAAUCCUGCCUAUCGUUCGCGGGCACAUAUUACUUUCACCUUCAAAUAGCAAUCUAAAAUAUAUUGAUUGGGCUAUGGUCGAUCGUGCAAAAAUCAUUUAAAUACUGUAAUUCCGCAAUAGUUUAUUACAAAUUCGACAAAGGUAAACCACAUUACGCCACGAGGUACCUUUAAAAGCGAAGGUCUACUUACUGUAUACAGGGCCCUCGAGCUGUUUUUUUCAAUAACGCAAGGUGGCAUGUCGUGCGUAAAAUCUCUGAAAAAUCACGACAUCCAAAUGAAGUCGGGAAAUAUUAGUUCAGAAAAUAAUGAUUACAAUCCUUUAUCAUAUAUCUCAAUCACACUUAUGCGAAUAACUAGACCUGAUCUAGCUAGACCUGAUCUGUAGAACAAUAAAUGUGCUGUGCCUAUUUGUCGCAGUUUUCUUUCACUUUCGAAUUUGUUCAAAUGUACUGUAGACUUUCAGAACUAACCCAAUAUAGAUAUGGAACGCCGUUUGGGUCUUUGCAUGUGAACAAAGAUACACGUCAAAUAUUACUAUUUGACACGUAAAAUAAGCGUUUCAUUUCAAAUAACACCAUUUUAUUAUAGAAUGUUGUAUGGAACGCCGUUUGGGUCUUUGCAUGUGAACAAAGAUACACGUCAAAUAUUACUAUUUGACACGUAAAAUAAGCGUUUCAUUUCAAAUAACACCAUUUUAUUAUAGAAUGUUGUAUGGAACGCCGUUUGGGUCUUUGAGUGUCAAAAGAACAUUCACUCAUAAUCAGAAAAAAUAACUAUUGUAACACUAUGUACAUAUUGUUGUACAGUUGAACGAUGAGGUAUAAGGCCAUUUAUAUCUACAGUAUGUAUUAAAUGAACAUCAAUUUUACAUUCGGAUGGGUUAUAGGCAGAAAGACUAACUCUGGUGUGAAAUAACACCUUCAAUUCAAUUCGUUUUUUUAAAAUCCAAGUUCAAAUCUCGAGCUGACAAGGUCGUUCUGCCACCUGAACAGCAGGGGUUAACCCACUAUUCCAAGGCCGUCAUUGAAAAUAAGAAUUUGUUCUUAACUGAUUUGCCUAGUUAAAUAAAGUUAAAAUAAAAUUAAAAUAAAAAAGCAAUUAUGGUCAUUCCAACUGCCCUUAACUAAGUGUCUUUGGUAGACGGAAAGGGUGAAAGAGAGAGGUGGGAAGAGAGUGAAAGACAGAGAGAGAUGGGGGAGAGAGAAACAGAAAGUGGUGCAAAAUUACUUAGACUCUUGUCUUCGAACUUGUUAGGCAAUCACAUGUGCUUACAAGGAUGGCCAGUCUCAUAGGAGGGUGAUUUUUAACUGAGGAGAAGAUGGAGUGAAGUGCUUGAUUGCCAAAAUCAACAUAACUCUUCUUUUGACAAUUGGCAUGGGAUUGUCAAGAAUGUGGACAGCUGGGAGUUUGAGAGGGUGAAGACUGUGGCGUAGAAUUUGAAGCGCAUCAGUUGUUUCACCAUGGCACAUGAUCGUAUGACGUACUUUCAAAUCACUGAAACUCGAUGCGAUGGAAGUUGUCGAACCAGAUCAGAACGCCUUCGAGGACAACCUUCAGGCACAGGAUGAGAAGCAUGAGGAGGUGAGAUUGAACAAGGACAAGGUGCUGGAGAAACAGAAGGAGAGCCUCCAGAGGAGAAUCAAGAAAUUACAGACAGGACCUAGGGGUUCUGCCCAACACACAGACGUGGAUCCACCUGAUGUCCUCCAUUACCUGGUCUCCAGAACCUAGGGGUUCUGUCCAACACCCAGACGUGGAUCCACCUGAUGUCCUCCAUUACCUGUUCUCCAGGACCUAGGGGUUCUGUCCACCACCAAGACGUGGAUCCACACCCAGACGUCAUCCUGUCUGGGUUGGCGCCCCCCCCUUGGGUUGUGCCAUGGCGGAGAUCUUUGUGGGCUAUACUCAGCCUUGUCUCAGGAUGGGUAAGUUGGUGGUUGAAGAUGUCCCUCUAGUGGU